UACGAAGGGGGCGAGCGUUGUUCGGAAUCACUGGGCGUAAAGGGCGCGUAGGCGGCCCUUCUUGUCGCGUGUGAAAGCCCCGGGCUCAACCUGGGAACUGCGUCGGAUACUGAUGGGCUUGAAUUCGGGAGAGGGAUGCAGAAUUCCAGGUGUAGCGGUGAAAUGCGUAGAUAUCUGGAGGAAUACCGGUGGCGAAGGCGGCAUCCUGGACCGACAUUGACGCUGAACGGCGAAAGCUAGGGGAGAAAACGGG
rnacentral:rRNA from 1 species